CCCUUAGACACUCUAGGCGGCACGCGCGCUACAAUGGGUGGAUGACUGUGUUACUGCUUUCGAAAGAGAGGGUGAAUCACGAAUUCUUACCCGUGAAUGGGAUAGUUUGUUGCAAUUUUCGGACUUGAACUAGGAAUCCCUUGUAAGCGCGCUCAAGAAUAGUGCGCUGAAUACGGCCCUGCCGUUUGUACACACCGCCCGUCGUUUCUUCCGACUGAUACGAAUUGUGAGUUGCAAGGACCGCACUGGGAAUUGCCGCGAAUGCUUCGUAUUGGAGGAAGAAAAAGUCGUAACA
rnacentral:rRNA from 1 species